AAUAUUUUUCUCAGAAAGAACAGAAGAACUCACAGAGGGUGCAGUCUUUUGGAACCAUCGAAAAAUUGAUGGACUGGCUCGUGCAUUAGUUACUCGACUCAGAAAGCAUCCAGUAAAAUGCGCUCUUCACUCCGGCACAGAAAUGAGUGUGAUAGGAAAAAGCUUCAAGGCUUCAUAAAAAUCUACAAUAGUGAAAACUCUGAAAUUCUCAGUGAAAAGGAUGCAAUAGAAGGUAUCCUGCCAUGGCACAAUUUAUUGCCUCAUCAUAGCCAAAAUGUGUCCCUUGCUCAAAAAAGAAGGCAGUAGAAGAUGUGGAGCUUCAGAAGAGAUCCAGAGAAGAGCAAUAACACACUGUUCAAGAAAUGCUGCAUUAUCUCGCAUAUUACAAGAAUAAGAGAGAGAUUUUAACCGAACAUACUGAAGAGUUGUUAUGUGGAAUUUUUCCUUCAUAUCUAAGCAAGGAUCCUAACAAGUACACUAUUGAAGAGAAGCACCUAUCAACCAAAA